rnacentral:rRNA from 1 species
UACGAAGGGGGCUAGCGUUGCUCGGAAUUACUGGGCGUAAAGGGCGCGUAGGCGGAUAGUUUAGUCAGAGGUGAAAUCCCCGGGCUCAACCCGGGAACUGCGUCCGAUACUGGCAGGCUUGAAUUCGGGAGAGGGAUGCGGAAUUCCAGGUGUAGCGGUGAAAUGCGUAGAUAUCUGGAGGAACACCGGUGGCGAAGGCGGCAUCCUGGACCGAGAUUGACGCUGAUGCGCGAAAGCCAGGGGAGCAAACGGG